ACUAAGUUUCAACAACGGAUCUCUUGGCUCUCGCAUCGAUGAAGAACGCAGCGAAAUGCGAUAAGUAAUGUGAAUUGCAGAAUUCAGUGAAUCAUCGAAUCUUUGAACGCACCUUGCGCUCCUUGGUACUCCUUGGAGCAUGCCUGUUUGAGUAUCAUGA
rnacentral:rRNA from 1 species